AUUUUACAGCACGUGCCCUACCAUAUGCUGGGCUCUGAAUUAGACAAUGCUGAUGCAGUAUGGACGAGACAAACCUGGUUCCCAUCUCCUGGAGCUGAGUCUAGAUGUGGAGACAAACUCUCACUGCACAUGUAGACACACGCCACUACCUCCAAGCCACCAAACCACCAACCAAUCAAAUUCAGCUCUCUACUACGUGCCAGCUCAGUCAGGGGAAGAGCACGUGACGGAGGCAGAGAAUUAGAGGACACGGAGGAGAUGCGCUAGGAGAGGUGGUUUAGGGCCAGGCUGCAGUCCAGAGACUAUCUGGACUCAGCGACUUGAUUCUGGACUCAAUGGAGAGCCACUGCAGGUUAGUGAGGAGGGCAGGUCUUGCUCCUUGUCCUCCUCUGGCCUCCUCACAGUUUGCCCUGGACACAGUGACUCAAAUUUCUGCUCUUCAGCCUCUGGUUCCACUGCCUUGCCUGUGGGUUGUGUGACAAAGCCCUGGGCUUCUGGGAACCCCCACUGGGGGGAAAUGAACUCCUUCAGCAAUGGGUAGAGCAAACCUGGAUGCUUGUCCUGCCCAAUUUCGAUCUCCAUCCACCCUUCAAGCUGCAGAGAGGCUCACUCUCUGUCAUUUUCUCUGGGAAGGGCCACGUGCUUGCCCAAGGUCACUCAGU
rnacentral:lncRNA from 1 species